rnacentral:rRNA from 1 species
GCGAAUGGCUCAUUAUAUAAGUUAUCGUUUAUUUGAUAGUACCUUACUACUUGGAUAACCGUGGUAAUUCUAGAGCUAAUACAUGCUAAAAAUCCCGACUUCGGAAGGGAUGUAUUUAUUAGAUUAAAAACCAAUGCCCUCUGGGCUCUCUGGUGAUUCAUGAUAACUUCGCGAAUCGCAUGGCCUUGCGCCGGCGAUGGCUCAUUCAAAUUUCUUCCCUAUCAACUUUCGAUGUUUGGGUAUUGGCCAAACAUGGUUGCAACGGGUAACGGAGGGUUAGGGCUCGACCCCGGAGAAGGAGCCUGAGAAACGGCUACUACAUCCAAGGAAGGCAGCAGGCGCGCAAAUUACCCAAUCCCGACACGGGGAGGUAGUGACAAUAAAUACUGAUACAGGGCUCUUUUGGGUCUUGUAAUUGGAAUGAGUACAAUUUAAAUCCCUUAACGAGGAACAAUUGGAGGGCAAGUCUGGUGCCAGCAGCCGCGGUAAUUCCAGCUCCAAUAGCGUAUAUUAAAGUUGUUGUGGUUAAAAAGCUCGUAGUUGAACCUUGGGCCUGGCUGGCCGGUCCGCCUCACCGCGUGUACUGGUCCGGCCGGGCCUUUCCCUCUGUGGAACCUCAUGCCCUUCACUGGGUGUGGCGGGGAAACAGGACUUUUACUUUGAAAAAAUUAGAGUGCUCAAGGCAGGCCUAUGCUCGAAUACAUUAGCAUGGAAUAAUAGAAUAGGACGUGUGGUUCUAUUUUGUUGGUUUCUAGGACCGCCGUAAUGAUUAAUAGGGACAGUCGGGGGCAUCAGUAUUCAAUUGUCAGAGGUGAAAUUCUUGGAUUUAUUGAAGACUAACUACUGCGAAAGCAUUUGCCAAGGAUGUUUUCAUUAAUCAGGAACGAAAGUUAGGGGAUCGAAGACGAUCAGAUACCGUCGUAGUCUUAACCAUAAACUAUGCCGACUAGGGAUCGGACGAUGUUAUUUUUUGACUCGUUCGGCACCUUACGAGAAAUC